GGUUGUUGCACUAGAGUUGAACAUGAGAUGUUGAAAAUUUUGCAAGAUAUGGGUUACAUAUUUUAGCCGUGAACCUACCUAGACUGACUUCAAGAGAGCAUCAUCCCAUUAAGACAUUGGCUUGUGUCAAAGAUGAUACAUCAUAAAACAUUGACAAUCGUGUAUAGUUGGAUGUAGAGUAAGAAGGAAAGUCUAAUUAAAAGAGAAAGAGUCUAAGACAUCAAGAGCAUAUUUAGUUAUGCCCUUAGAAUACACCUAAUCACGGCGUGUGAUUAAAAAAAGACCAUUAAAUGAAAUAACGAGUAAUAAUGUGAAACCUUCCCAAAAGAGGAAGCUUUUGGAUUAUUAAAAAACCUAGAGUCUACCUAUAAAAUAGGGUAAAUAUCAUAAUCAACAUACACAUUCUAUAAAAACGUAAAAGAAUUCUUCCUUGGCUUAUUCAGUAACUAACUUGGGCGUCUGAGUGUUUGUAGGUACCAACCCCCUUCAUCGACACCAAGAAAGCACAAAUGAGGGAAACACUAUUGGAGUAUGCCAUCCCAUCUAAGUUAAAUAUAUAUUCAAGAUUCAUUAGGUCGAGAUAAGAUCUUUGUUGUUGUCUAUGAGAAUAUUUUAAUAAGAAACUCAUUGUUCCUCUAUUUCAUGCCAAAAUGGCAUGUUCAAAUAGAACACCUACCCUUUGCGGCCAAAAGUCAAAGAAUCCAACAAAUCCAUAAAAUAAUUCAAUUUUGAAUCAUGUUCAAUGCCUUCUUCAUUUGGUCUAACAUAUAUUCAAUCGGUGGAAUGAUAUCUUCACUAUGGCUUAUGACAACAUAUAGUUGUCCACUAGAUGGGAAGAUCUACCCAUAAACUCACACUUUAAUAGAAAAAAGGUGGUCUUAACUAGAUUUUUAUCGUCAAAAAUUAUCAUUCACCUCCCAACGAGAGCUGGUGUUUUCUCUCGCGAAGGGACCUGUUUCUUAAGAAUACUUAAACAAGUAAGCGACCCCAUCUAGGAUUUUAGAAUGGGUAACUGGUCAAUGAUAUCCCAAACCUCCACAUACCCGUCCUCAUUAGGGUAGAAAUAACAGUUCAUGACGUUUUUCGCCUGCUGGUGGAUUAGGGGAAUUCAUAUGAUAUCAUGUACACCGAUACAUACAGGAAAAUGAGUUUACGUCCAAUUAUGAAACCAUACUAUGGGGGAACUCUCCAUGGAUUUGACAAGAUGAUCACAAGAUCUCUUUGAUACAUUUAGCUCCCAUAUGCCUUUGGGGUCGGUUAACAAAUGACAAUCAUUAGAAUAAAGUUCCAAAUCAUCGAAUGUGACUCUGUCUACAACUGCAUCCUAGGAAGGUUGAAAAUGGAAAUCCUAGAAGAAUUUUCAUCGAGCGUUCACCUAAAUAUCAAAUUUCACACCCUAGAGGUUCAAAUUGUGGUGAUAGAAACCUAUUUGGCAUUGUCCCGUACUUGUUUCUCAGCUUUCCUAGCAUAGCAACCUCCAAUAGAGUAAUGCCAUUUCCUAGAAGGAAAAGUCGAAGAAGUGUUGGAACUAGAUGCCUAUUUAGAGGAGCCAAUCCCCGAAAAAUUUAUGGAAAGAGAAGAAGUUAUACCAAUAGAAGCGUAAAAAAAAGUUGAAAGGACUAAAACAAUAAGAGACUUUAUCACGACCUUUGUGAUAGGAGAUCCAUAAAAUACCAUUAAGAUUAGAGCAUAUUUGCCCAAGCAUGUACGAGAGGCAUUAAAGAAAUACUUAUAAUGAAGUCAUGAUCUAUUCACAUGGACAAUAAAGGAAAUGCUAGGCCUUGGCCCCGAAGUAUCCUCACACACUUUGGACCUAUAAGAUGACGUCUCAUAUGUAGCACAUGACAGAAGGAAACAAUCAACGGAAAAAGACAAAGCAGUUAAAAGGACCGUAAAAAAGGCUCACAAGAGUCGUAUUCGUAAAUGAGGAAAUAUACACGAUGUGGCUUUCCAAUGUGGUCUUGUUGCAAAACGCUAAAAAUAAAUGGGGCAUAUGCAUUGAUUAUUAAGGCUUACAUAAAGCAUGCCCGAAAUACAUGUAUCAACUCCCUAACAUUGACAAAAUCAUUGUCAACUCCUCAAGAUUCAAGCUCUUAUCUUUAAUAGACACUUAUUAUGGAUAUAACCAUAUAACAAUGGAUCCCCACUACGGUAAAAAAACAAUGUUUAUGACAAACACAUGAAACCUCUAUUUCAAGGCCAUGCCGUCCUUCUUCAAGAUUGCAUGAGCCACGUACCUGAGGAUGACGAACAACGUUUUCAAAGAUCAUGAAUGACAUGAUCAUCAAGACUAAGGAAAAAUAGGAGCAUACAAUCCAUUUGAAGGCAUAUUUAAGGAAAUUAGAAAACACAUGAUACGACUGAACUCUAAUAUUAGUGCGAGUUCCAUACAUUUAUUAGGGUAUUGAGAGAGACAGAGAGAGAGAGAGAGAGAGAGAGGAGAGAGAGAGAGAGAGAGAGAGAGAGAGCAGGAGAGAGAGAGAGAGAGAGAGAGAGAGAGGAGAGAACUCUAAUAUUAGUGCGAGUUCCAUACAUUUAUUAGGGUAUUGAGAGAGAGAGAGAGAGAGAGAGAGAGAGAGAGAGGAAUAUAACUUAACUCAGAAAAAUGCCAAACUAUAGUCAAAAUGGCUUUUCCCAAAAACCAAGAAAGGAUUUUAAAGGCUAAAUAACAUGUUAAUAGCUUUGUCUAGAUUUUUCUCCCUAUCAGCGUAUUACACAUUACUAUUUAGCAAACUGUUGAGGAAAUAAGAAACUUUCGAGUAGAAAUCGGAGUGCCAUGAUGUGUUUACAAAGCUCAAGAAAUUUUGUCACAUCUUUCUGUAUUGAUCCAUACUAGUGAAGGGGAGCCCAUUUUUGUAUAUCAAUGAGUCUCUCCUGAAGUGAUAAGGGUCGUCUUGGUCUGGGAAAAUACAUCUUCUCAAGAACCAGAAUACUUUUUUGGGAAAGUAUUGCAAGGAAAGGAUUUACGUAAUCAUAAAGUAAAAAAAAAUCGCCCUAACACUCGUAGCAACAGCUAGAAAAUUGAGACAUUAUUUCCUCACUCAUCCCAUGGUAGUAAGAACAUAUUAUCCUAUAAGACAGAUACUCUUCAAGCGAGUAUGAAACAUGUUUGGAUGGCUUAUGAAUGACAUCUUAUAUGGGGUGUGAAGAAGUAAUAACAAUUAUAAUUCAGAUUUGGUCAUGUCAUUGGUUUGAUGUGAAUAUCAAGCCAAAGAUACAAUCAUGCAACAAUACUUGGAAAAGGUAAGAACUGAUAUGUCAGUGUUCUAGAAAGUGAAAAUUCAUCACAUUCCUAGAGAGAUAAAUUCCAAAGCAUACCUUUUGCUCUAAGUCAUGAAGUUGCAAUAAAACCUUCAUACACGAGAUAAUGUUGAACCAUAGUGUAAGUUACAUAGUCAAUAUUGUUGAAGAGGAAAAAGAGCUACCUUCAUGUUGGAUGAAACCUAUAGUAAGAUACAUAACGAAUUAAGAGCUACCAGAAGAUAAGAAUUAAGCAUCAAGAAUCCAAUGAAAAUCUUGCUUAUAUUCACUUGUAUAAGGACACCUCUAUAUGCGAGGUUUCACCAAUCAUGUUCUAAAGUGUUUGACAAAAUAGGGUAAAAAAUGAGUGUUGGAAGAGAUUAAAGAAGGACCAGAAAGACAACACCUGAGAGGGAAGUCCUUAGCAACAUCAAGGAAGAAAAUGAUUGAAGUAAAUCAAAAAAGAAGCUAGAAAGUUCUGAUGUUUGGUGCAAAGAAACUCAAAUUUUAAGAACAACAUCAAAUGAAUUGAAGUCUAUUAAAGCCUACAUGUGAUCUUGUGCCUUAGUUGUUUUAUCUAUUUAGAUCAAUAGUGUGUAAUAAGUGUGAUUAGCUCUCAAAAUACUAAAGUAAUUCGCAUUCGCGCACACACACAUGCUUAAAAUAUUUUACAAACUUCAUUUAUUUAAAAAUGUUUUUAAAGUCAUCUUUUCCCUAAAACUAAUUGAUUAGGAAGCUUAUCUGACGAAUUAGGAAGCAAAAAUUCGCUCUCUAAUAGAUUAGAACGCGUGUUUAAUCGAUCAUGGAGCAAACUCGUCCCGCAAUCGAUUAAGAAUCCUCUUAAUCGAUUAGACUGCGAAUUUGAUAUUUUCUUUUCUAAAAUGCUAGGUCAUAAUUGAUUAACGUCGCAAACUAAUUGAUUAAAGAGCGGUUCCGAUCUAAUUUUUUUUGGCCAAAUUUUUUUCCUUAAAUAUAAAAUAAUAUCUUAUUAAUUUUGUUUGUUAGUUAGCUAAAUAAAAGUAUUUUUCACUCGUGAAUAGUUAGAUAAUGCAACAAUAAUAUCAACAAAAUAGUUUUAUAUGUAAGACAAGAAAUAAAUAGGAUGGUAAUGAAUAAAAAAUAAGUCGAAAAGUUUUAAUGAAAUCUUGCUCUUUAAUAUUAGUCCAACUAAAUGACUUAUAUAUUGUUCAUAAAAGCUAUUUGCUCCAUAACAAAUGAAACAACACUACUUUUUGUUUGACAAUUUAUUUUUAGAGGUGCUUAAAAACUUGAAAAACAAAACAUGAUUUCACAUGCAAUAUAAAAUAAGAAUGAAAGGUUUCUUUGAGAGAGUGAAAACUUUAUUUAAAAAUAUAACAUAAGUAUAAUUCUAGUUCAAGAAUAGAAGUUGAAAUUGUUAGAUAGAGUUGACACAUAAAUCGAACUUUAGCCUAAGAAAAAUCAAUUAAAUUUCUUUUUUAUAUAAAUAGAUAGCAAUAAUUGUUGUGCAGUUCACAUAUAAGUAUUUAAAACAUUAAAGUAUGUUUUCUAAAGUAAAAUUGAUUGUACCAGUAGGGAUGUAAUGUAUCGAUUUUAUUAGUUCUUUUAUAAAAAUAAUAUAAAUGAAUUGAGAUUAAUAUGUUUACUUUAAAUUUAACUUUGUAAUAUUUUCAUGUGAAAUCUAAACCAAAUCAAAUUAAAUAAGAGAAAGGAUAUAUUGAUUUAUGGAAAUUUUGAUAAUGUUAUUAAGAUGCUCUUUAUAUUUUAAAUAGUAGUGAUUUUUUAAGUUUAGUUGUCAAAUCAAAUUCAAACACAAUUUUUUUUAAAUUAUAAAAUAUUUUUAAUAAAGUGAUGAAUGAGAAUAUGACAAUACAUUUUUUCAUAAUUAUUCUGCUGUUAAUGGCCUCAUUUUUACUUCUCUUUCUCUCACACUUCAUCGUAAAAUGGCAAGGCGGAACGAAAAAGUAUGCAUUAUUAAUAACAUGAUUCACACUUUUCUCGCUCAUGCAUCAAUUCCUCCCUCAUUUUGGCAUCAUGCACUUCAAAUGGCUACAUAUCUUCUUAACAUUCUUCCCUGAAAAAUUAUGUUUAAUCUCUUUCUCAUCCAACUUCUAUAUCAUCGUGACCCCUCUUACACACAUCUUCACGUCUUUGGUUGUCUUUGUUAUCUAUUGUUUCCCUCCAUUACCAUCAACAAAUUACAACCUCGCUCUGACUCUGUGUUUUCUUAGGGUAUCCCCUUAAUCAUAGAGUUUAUAAAUGUUUUGAUUUGUCACAAAGAAAAAUCAUCAUCUCACGACAUGUCAUCUUUGAAGACACUACUAGAAAAUAUACCUUCGGUGACACAAUAUUACAACGGUCAUUUUUCCUCGUAGUCAUAUCACAUUUUUUACGUGCAUGUUUUAUUUUAUUUUAUUAAUAAAUCUUUCAUCACGGUUCCUAAAAAUAACUGUGGUCAUAGAAAUUGGAUGACAAGCUUCGAAUCCCAACAUCAAUAUUUAUCCAUUUUUUCAAUAAAAAUAAGUGUGUGUCCCUUCACACUUGUUGUUAUUUAAAAAAUGAAAGUAUAACAACUAUGAUUGUUUCAUUCAACUGUGGUUAUAUGUUCCAUAUUUCACUACGGUUGAAGCUUGCAACCGUUGUGAAAUUAUUUUUCACAAAAUUAAAACAUAACAGGUACCUCAUUUCGUUCAUAACACACAAGGGUGCCCUAGCGAACAAGACGACCGUGGUAGCGAAAUCUUCACCAUCUUCAUUCAUUUCUGAAAACUAAUAUCAUUUUUGGAGACAGAAUCGUCAUCCUCUUCGAAUUAGGAUAAUUAUCAUUCUCUCUCUCUCUUUGACACUUCUGAAUGUUUAUGUUCUUCGCUAGGGUUAUUGGUUUCUUUUUUAACAGAUAAAUGAUGCUGGUUUUUAUUGCAUUUCAUGAAUCAACACUUUCGACAUUGAUAUUAUCAUGUAUAUUGUUCAUGUUUUAUUCAUAUUUUGUGAAUAUGCUUUAGGUGUUGCCAUUUUGUUCAUGUUUCCAUAUUCAUGUUUUAUUCAAAUCAUGUGCAUGUAAUAAUAUUAGGACGUUAUGUGUGUAACAUUAGUGUGUCAUUCACAUUAGUCUUUUGAUAUAAAAUUCAUAAUUUGUUAUGGAUCGUAGUUGGAUGAAAGCUAAUAGAUUAGGUCUGGUGUAUGAGAAUGAAGUUCUUGAAUUCCUUGAAUUUUCUAAAAAAAAUAUUCCCGACAACAAUGGUAUUUUUUAUUGUCUUUGUGUUAUUUGCAGGAAUAUAAAAAAACAGCCAAAGAAAUAAAUGUUACAUCACCUAUGUUGUGAUGGAAUAUGUCAAAAUUAUACAACAUGGAUGUGGCAUGGAGAAAUGGAUAAUAAUCGAAAUGUGACGUCACAAAUGGAUGAAGAUGAUAAAGAUAUGAAUAAUCGACUAGAAGAUAUGAUCCGUCAUAUUGGAGAAUCAUCUUAUAUGAAAGCUCAUAUUUAUGAUAUUUUAUGUAACAACAAAUAUGCGUCUUUAUAUAAGGGGUGCACUAGUUUUACACGAUUGUCUAUGUUGUUAAAAUUGUUUAAUCUGAAGGCAAAAGGUGGGUGGUCGGAUAAAAGUUUCAUAGAAUUGCUUGAUUUAUUAAAACAAAUGCUACCAGAAGAUAACAAUUUACAGAAUCGUUGUUAUGAGCCCAAGAAGAUAUUGUGUCAAAUGGGUUUGGACUAUAUCAAAAUACAAACAUGCCAUAAUGAUUGCAUAUUAUACAGGAAAGAGUGUGGAAAUUUGGAUCAAUGUCUAGAAUAUGGUGAUCCGUGCUACAAGUUGAAGAACAACAAUAGUGAUGACAAUGACAAUGUUAGUAAGAAGCAUCCUCCUACUAAAGUGUUAUGGUACUUGCCAAUAAUUUUAAGGUUAAAGAAACUUUUUGCUAAUGCGAGUGACUCAAAGAAUAUUAUAUGUCAUGUAGGUGAAAGAAAAUAUGAUGAAAACAUUCGCCAUGUAGCUGAUUCUUUACAAUUGAAGAAAAUUGAUUAAUUGUUUUCUGAUUUUGGCCUUGAGCCAAGAAACCUUAUGCUUGGGAUUUUUACAUAUGGAAUGAACCCCUUGCGUAAUAUGAGUACUAACCAUUCUUCGUGGCAUGUUCUUCUCACGAUUUAUAACCUAUCUCCUUGGUUGUGCAUGAAACGCAAAUAUAUGAUAUUAAGUAUGAUGAUUUCUGGACCAAGACAACCUGGAAACGACAUAAAUGUUUAUCUAAGUACAUUAAUUGAGGAUUUAAAAAAUUUUUGGGAUAAAAGUGUUGACGUUGAUGAUUCAUAUUUCGGUGAAAAGUUUAAGAUGCGUGCAAUUUUAUUUUGCACAUUCAACGAAUUUCCUGCAUAUGAUAAUUUGGUUGGAUAUAGUCUCAAAGGACAUGAAUUAUUUCCUAUAUGUGAAUCUAAUACACAUUUUCAUGGACUUGAGUUUGGAAAAAAGACUGUUUACCUUGGGCAUCCAAAACUUCUAAAACCCAAUCAUCCUUGUCGUAGAUUGCUGAAGACUUUUAACGAAGAGCAUGAGUUUGAAAUUUCUCCUAAACCUUUAACUAGUGGCGAAGUUUAUCAAUGACAAGAAAACCCUACUGUUGUCUUUGGAAAUAAUAAAGAUGGUCCCGUUGAGAAAAAUAUUUGGAAAAAGAGAUCGGUGUUCUUUGAUCUUCCAUAUUGGUCUAGCCUCGAUGUAAGACAUUGUCUUGAUGUGAUGCAUGUGGAGAAAAAUAUGUGUGAUAGUUUGAUAGGAACACUUCUAAAUAUUCCAGGCAAGAAUAAAUAUAAUAAAAAUUCUCGUUUAGAUAUGGUGGAGAUGGGUAUACGAUAAUAGUUGGCUCCAAAAGAUAGAGGAAAAAGAUCUUAUUUCCCUCCGACAUGUCACACUCUAUCUAAAAAGGAAAAUAAAAGUUUUUGCGAGUGUUUACAUGGUAUCAAAGUUCCCCAAGGUUACUCUUCAAACAUUAAGAAACUAGUAUCAAUGAAAGAUCUCAAGUUAAUUGGCUUAAAAUCUCAUGAUUGUCAUCUCUUGAUGCAACAACUUCUAUCAGUGGCUAUCUGUGGCAUCCUUCAAUGCUAUAUGUAAUAAAGUUCUUGAUUUCAAAAAAUUAGGUGAAUUAGAAGAUGAGGUUGCAAUAAUAUGGUGUCAAUUUGAGAUUUAUUUUCCUCCAUCAUUUUUUGACAUUAUGGUUCACUUUCUUGUCCAUCUAGUCAGAGAAAUCAGAUUUUAUGGUCCAAUUUAUUUAAGGUGGAUGUAUCCUAUAGAGCAAAGCAUGAAUAUAUUUAAAGUAUAUUUGAAUAAUCAUCAUCGACUAGAAGCUUCAAUCAUUGAAAGGUACAUCACAAAAGAAGCUCUUGAGUUUUAUUCAAACUAUUUGUCAGAAACAGAGUUUAUUGGAAUUCUAAAGUCUCGUCAUGCUGAUAAAUUUGAAGGUAGAGGUACUUAAGGUUUAAAUGUUAAGUCAAUGGAUCGGGAUGUAGUACUUGAAGCACAUUUAUAUAUAUUGAAUAGUCUUAGUGUAGUUGAACCUUACAUAGCUACUCACAAAAAUGUUAUAAAGAAAAAAUAUCCCUGAAUGAAUGACAAGUGGUUGUUGACACAAUAUAAUAUAAGUUAGUUUAAUAAGAGGAUUUCUAAUGAUGAUGGUGCAUCUGAGACAAUUAAAUGGUUGUCGUACAUGCCAAAAUUUAUUGUGAUAAUUUGUACGGCAUACGACAUUUCUAAUUAUUUCUUUUAUACAAAAGCAAAAGAUGAUUGAAGUACAAUGCAAAAUAUGGGGUUAAGGUUGAGGCCGAAUCAAUGUAUUUCUCUAGUUCGAAAGAUAAAAGUCAUAUUUUGGUGACCAUUGCGUUUUAUGGUGUCAUCGAGGAGAUUUUGGAGAUUGAUUAUGUUAUUUUUAAAGCGUCUUUAUUUAAAUAAAAGUGGGUUCCCAAUAGCAAUGAUGUACAAACUAAUGAGUUAGGAUUUACACAGGUUGACAUUGGCAAGGAAACUUAUAACAUCGAAUCACUCAUCAUAUCUACUCAAGAAAAAACAAUUUUUUUAAGUGACAGACCUUGCAGACUUAUCGAAAGAUGGUCAAUUAUUUUCAAAGGAAAACAUAUUCCUCAUAGUGAUGAUGAAAGUUUUGAUAUUUCUUUCACUCCUUCUUAUGAAACAUAAGUUCCUACUUCAUAUGAAGAAGUUUAUAGAGAUUAUGUACAUGUUAUUCGUAACGAUCAUCAAAAGGCAUAUGGAAAAUUAACAAGUAAGUAUUUUAUAUUCUUCAUUCAUAAUUUAUUGUAUGUUAUAAUUUCUAAUGAUGCUAUUUUCUAACAACUAUUAUUAUUUGAAAUUAUAGGUGUUUAAAGUUAAGACACCUAUAGACAAGACACGAAGACAACAAGAUAGUAUUAUUUGAUAUAAUGAUGUGUACAUUAUAGGUUGUUUUAUGCCAUUUUGGUUUUAAUGUAAUAUAUAAUUUUUGGUUUCUAAUGAAAUUGUGUCAUUGAUGUAAUACAAUUUUUGGUUCCUAAUGAAAUUGUAUCAUUGAUGUAAUACAAUUUUUGGUCUAAUUCAAUUCACAAAUGGGUGUAUUGUUGUUUUUGGUAUGAAACGAUUCAGAAAUAUUCAGGUUAAAAAUUUGGGAAUACUGUAAAAUUGAAAAAUAUAUUAAAAAAGAAAUAUCACAACGGUUUUUAGUUCAACUGUUAUUAUAAGUAGAGCACUAUCCUGAAUAAUAAAACGCAAGAAUGACAUUGUUGGUAUUCGAACUCAUGACAUAUAUAUUAUUUCAUAAUGAUUGUUUUCUUUACCCGUUUUUAUAAGUAGCGCGCUACCUAACUUAUAACCACGGUGACUCGCCCGUUGUGGAAAUCAACUUACAUACAAUCACACGCUACCUAACAACGGACGUGAAACUGUCAUUAUAUGUGUUUCGUAACUUUGGUUAUGUGUGUUUUCCGUAGUAGUGUGAGACUCAAUUUCCCUUUGCUCGCAUGUCCUCCACACCUGCCCCUACAUAUAGAUAUUCCACUGUGUUAGCCGAGAUUUUGACGCCAAGGUUGGAUUAAGUAUGAUGGGCAAAAGAAAUAUUUUUAAGAUGUUUUGACUUCGACAUAUAGUAUUUUAGGAGAUCUUAGUCGAAGAGGUCCUUUGUAUAAGAGGGAAAUGCCGAUUUUAGGACUUAGAAAUAUUUUCGAGUUUAGACUGCAACUUCGACGAAAGAAAUAUUGAGGUUGCAUUCGACAAAAGGUUUUAAAUUUUGAAUAAGGAUCAUAACUGUCUUUUGUCCUUAUCCAUUUAUCUAAAAGGAUGCGUGUAAAGCUACGGCGAAGUAAAGGCAUGCAAGUGAAACAUGUCAUUUGUUGGGGGAAAAGACCGUUGAUAGCGGUUAUUUUCGACUUAGUAUAAAUAUGAGUCUUAGUGUAUAGGAUUUCAGAGUGUUCAAUCAUUGUACAAAUACUCACAAAUUACUCCAAGCAUCUAAGUGUGUUUGAGAAACGAGUUCGUUGAGAAUGUACGUAUGAAUCACCAUAUUUUCAUUUCAAUUGAAGUUAUUUGCCGUUUAUCAAUUAUUCUUUCUUAUUGCAAUUUACUUUGAAGUUUUUUAUUGAAAUUCCUUUACAAAUUCUGCAUUUACUUUUAAACUUUAAACAACAUUCUCAAAUCAUGGGCAUUGUCGAAGUGUUCAUAGACUUUCAAAUUAACAAGAGCACGUGUCCUAGGAUUCAUUGGUUGAUCUUGUAAAUUAAACCAUUUUUGGAGACCAGAGAUUGUUUACCAAUUUUCACGGUAAACACACUGAUGCUUUACACCCUGCCCUUAUACAUCAGUGGGGUCAUACAUCUUUAGUGUCUUCACCAGAUGACCUUCUCAGACAGUCACAUAUACCUAACUCUCACCAUAUAUGACCAGCCUCCCCAGUCACUCCUAUAUCUUUCUCCUCGAAUCACCUAGAUACCUCUCCCUCACCCACACCACUGGCCCAUGUCGCGCCUCCUACCCGGACCAUGGCCACUCGAUGCGUGAAGGGCAUUUACAAACCUAUGAAACUCUUUAACUUGUUUGUUACCAUUGAUGAUCCGACCAUCUCCCCUCUUCCCAAAAACCAUAAACUUGCUUUUUAUGACCUUAAUUGGAAAUCCUCAAUGCAGUCUUAAUUUAAUUAUCUUAUUAGAAAUAAUAGGUAGAAUUUAGUUCCUUGACCUUGUGAUGUUAACAUUAUUCCUUGUAUGUGGGUUUUCUAGCAUAAAAAUAAAUCCGAUGGCUAUUUUGAGCGAUAAAAAGCUCGAUACUUAGGUGAUGACAGGUCUUAAAUUGCAGGAGUGGAUUGUGAUAAGACUUUCGGCCCUGCAGUGAAACCUGCGACCAUUCACACUAUUCUCACCAUUGCUCUCUCCAGGUCCUGACUCAUUCAUCAGUUAGAUAUUCAUAAUGUCUUUCUACAUAUUGAUCUUCAUGAAACUGUCUAUAUGCACCAACCACUGAGUUUUCGUGAUCCUCAUCACCCAGAUUAUGUUUGCCGUUUGCGGAAAUAUCUAUAUGGUCUGAAGCAAGCACCUCGUUCCUGGUACCAACAUUUUGUUGACUAUGUCUCCACCAUUAGAUUUCAGCAUAACACCUCUGAUCACUCUCUAUUUAUCUACGGGCGUGGCUCCGAGAUGUCUUACAUCUUACUUUAUAUUGAUGACAUCAUCCUCAUCAUUUCCUCUCAUGACCUAAGUAAAUCUAUCAUGGAACUUCUUGCCUCCGAGUUUGCUAUGAAGGAUAUGAGAUCGUUGAGUUAAUUUUUGGGUAUUAUAGUGACAAGACAUGCAAAAAGAUUGUUUCUUAGUCAGAGUGCCUACGCAGUGACAUUAUUGGUUGAGCAAGCAUGGCCUCAUACAAACCUUAUGCUACUCCAAUUGACACCAAACAGAAGCUCAGUAUCUUUGUCGGCACUUCAUAUGAUGAUCCUACAUUAUAUUGGAGUCUUGUUGGUGUUUUACAGUAUCUCACAUUUAUCCGUCCUGACAUCUCAUAUGCUAUAAAGCAAGUGUGUUUUCACAUGCAUGCUCUCUGCACUGAGCACAUGCUUGCACUAAAACGCUCAUGUGUUACGUUCAAAGCACCUUACAAAAUGGUUUGCAUCUUUAUGCUUCUCCUAUCAAGAAGCUUAUUUCCUACACAAAUGCUGAUUGGGGUGGAUGUUCCGACACUCGUCGACCUACUUCUGGUUAUUGUGUUUUUCUUGGUGACAAUCUAAUUUCAUGGCCGUCUAUGAGACAACUCACACUUUCUUGUUCCAUUGCAAAGGCUGAAUAGCGGGGCGUUGCUAGAGCGGUUUCAGAAUCAUGUUGGCUCUGCAACCUUCUCUUGGAGCUUCGUUUUCCUAUUUCCCAUGAUACGCUUGUGUACUAUGAAAAUGUUAGUGCUAUCUACCUAUCCAGAAAUCCUAUCCAGCAUUAGUGUACAAAACACAUUGAGAUGAACAUUCACUUUAUUCGGGAGAAGGUCGCUCGUGGUCAAGCUCAUGUUCUUCAUGUUACUUCCUAGUACCAGAUUGUUGAUAUCUUCACCAAAGACAUCGUUAAAAUUCUCUUUGAUGAUUUUCGGACCAAUAUAAGCGUUCGUUAACCUCCCGCUUCGACCACGGGGGUGUGAUAAAAUAUGUAUUUUUAUUUGUUAAAGAAUACUUAUAUAUAAGUUCACAUUUAAUAUCAUAUAAUAACUGUAAUAUAUAUAUAUAUAGUUAUAUAAUAUAUUAGUAUAUUAUAUAUAUAUUAUAUAUAUAUAUAUAGGUUAUAUACUAUAUAUAUAGUAUAUUAUAAUUGUAUGCGGGGUAUUCGUUACCUAUUUAGAUUUAUUAACAAGUCAAAAGAAUUAUACAUCGAUGUCGCCACGCNNNNNNNNNNNNNNNNNNNNNNNNNNNNNNNNNNNNNNNNNNNNNNNNNNNNNNNNNNNNNNNNNNNNNNNNNNNNNNNNNNNNNNNNNNNNNNNNNNNNNNNNNNNNNNNNNNNNNNNNNNNNNNNNNNNNNNNNNNNNNNNNNNNNNNNNNNNNNNNNNNNNNNNNNNNNNNNNNNNNNNNNNNNNNNNNNNNNNNNNNNNNNNNNNNNNNNNNNNNNNNNNNNNNNNNNNNNNNNNNNNNNNNNNNNNNNNNNNNNNNNNNNNNNNNNNNNNNNNNNNNNNNNNNNNNNNNNNNNNNNNNNNNNNNNNNNNNNNNNNNNNNNNNNNNNNNNNNNNNNNNNNNNNNNNNNNNNNNNNNNNNNNNNNNNNNNNNNNNNNNNNNNNNNNNNNNNNNNNNNNNNNNNNNNNNNNNNNNNNNNNNNNNNNNNNNNNNNNNNNNNNNNNNNNNNNNNNNNNNNNNNNNNNNNNNNNNNNNNNNNNNNNNNNNNNNNNNNNNNNNNNNNNNNNNNNNNNNNNNNNNNNNNNNNNNNNNNNNNNNNNNNNNNNNNNNNNNNNNNNNNNNNNNNNNNNNNNNNNNNNNNNNNNNNNNNNNNNNNNNNNNNNNNNNNNNNNNNNNNNNNNNNNNNNNNNNNNNNNNNNNNNNNNNNNNNNNNNNNNNNNNNNNNNNNNNNNNNNNNNNNNNNNNNNNNNNNNNNNNNNNNNNNNNNNNNNNNNNNNNNNNNNNNNNNNNNNNNNNNNNNNNNNNNNNNNNNNNNNNNNNNNNNNNNNNNNNNNNNNNNNNNNNNNNNNNNNNNNNNNNNNNNNNNNNNNNNNNNNNNNNNNNNNNNNNNNNNNNNNNNNNNNNNNNNNNNNNNNNNNNNNNNNNNNNNNNNNNNNNNNNNNNNNNNNNNNNNNNNNNNNNNNNNNNNNNNNNNNNNNNNNNNNNNNNNNNNNNNNNNNNNNNNNNNNNNNNNNNNNNNNNNNNNNNNNNNNNNNNNNNNNNNNNNNNNNNNNNNNNNNNNNNNNNNNNNNNNNNNNNNNNNNNNNNNNNNNNNNNNNNNNNNNNNNNNNNNNNNNNNNNNNNNNNNNNNNNNNNNNNNNNNNNNNNNNNNNNNNNNNNNNNNNNNNNNNNNNNNNNNNNNNNNNNNNNNNNNNNNNNNNNNNNNNNNNNNNNNNNNNNNNNNNNNNNNNNNNNNNNNNNNNNNNNNNNNNNNNNNNNNNNNNNNNNNNNNNNNNNNNNNNNNNNNNNNNNNNNNNNNNNNNNNNNNNNNNNNNNNNNNNNNNNNNNNNNNNNNNNNNNNNNNNNNNNNNNNNNNNNNNNNNNNNNNNNNNNNNNNNNNNNNNNNNNNNNNNNNNNNNNNNNNNNNNNNNNNNNNNNNNNNNNNNNNNNNNNNNNNNNNNNNNNNNNNNNNNNNNNNNNNNNNNNNNNNNNNUCAAAGGCAUAAGGCCUAGGUUUCUAAUUUGAAAAUAAUGUCAAAGUUUGCACAAAAUGAGUUUGGCUUGGGUUAGAGUGGAGAGAAGAAGAGAAAGGCUAGUCCUAAACAUGCAAAGAUAAGAGAAGAGAUAAAACCCUUGGAGUUCCUUUUCUUGAAAUCAUAAAGAUGAUUCAAGAUGCUCCUUUCCUUUGGACUUAGCAACCAACUCAAGCAAUCAAAAUACAUAUUAUAUUAAAGCUCCUAGGAUCUCCAUUUGGCUUGUCUCUCUUAACUUGGCUAUUCAUGACAAUGGUCCUCCUUACUAUCUCAAGUUUGGAAUCCCUAUCAUACAAGAACAAACAUCAAAAAGUUCACAAUGCAAUAAGAGGAAUGGACAAAGAAUGAGUUUAGAUUAGGGGUCCUUUGAAGUCAACUUUUAAGAUUUAGCAUUCUAAAGGCAUGAGGCCUAGUUGCUCUUGAACAAUUUUAGCAUUCUAAAGGCAUGAGGCCUAGUUGCUCUUGAACUGCUUUAAGCAUAGGUAAGGUCCUAAUUCUAAGUCCUUUCUCCUUUUUGCAUUGGGUUCACACAAACAAAGACAAAACAAUCACAAAGCAAUAAUAUAUUUACACAAUAAUGAGCUCAAAUGAGCAAAAGGAAAAUGGCAUAAACAUAAAAUAUGAGCUCAAGUGAGCAAAGGGGAAAGGCAAUAUGAAUAAAUGAGCAAGAAAGUAAAUUUCAUUAAAGUAAAUUGCAAGAAUUAAAUGCUCAAAUUAAAGUUAGUAAUUAGUAGUCAAUGUUAGUGUGUCAUAAGACAAUUUAGCACUAUGUUAAGCAAUCGUAAGUGGACUAAUGUAGUAGUCACACCUAUCUGAGGCCGGUCAAUAAAACUAUAGGCAAAUAAAUACAAGUUAGAGAUCAUGACUAGUAAGCCAAACUCCUAGAACUUGCCAUGCCAAAAGAAAAGAAGGAAAGCCUUGUAUGGACUUUAGGUUUUUUGCUUGACCAAGAAGCAACCUAUCUUGGACACAAAGCAAUUCACUUGAUCUUUGAUCAAGUUGAAUUUGAUUUGGAUCAAAGAAGGUUAAGCCUCUCAUAUGUCAAGACUAACCACAAAUCAUUAACUCAUUGGCCAAAAUAAAAAGAAGAAGAUGAAGAUGAAAUGAAAUGGAUAAAAAGGAGAAUUCAAAUGACAUAAUCAAAACACAAUGAUCAAAUGUGAAUGAAAUCAUCAUCAACCAGUGGUAAACAGAAGAGAAAUGAAGAUUAGAAGUUAACAAGGUCAAACAUAUUUUUUGGAAUUAAAAUAAAACAUAAAAUAAAAUGAACAAAAUAUGGUCAAACCUCAAAUUCAAUUUAAAUCAACUUGAACAAGUCCAAUUGAAUCAUCAUAGGUCUAAUAUGGUCAAACAAGGUUUGACAAAUUUUCUCAACAUUUUUUGAAAACAGAAACUAUUUAAAAUCAAUUAAAAACAAUAAAAUAUAACACAAAUGAAUUAAAAUCUCAAAUAAAUCUCAAAUCAAUUAAGAAAUUGAUGAGAAUAUUUUUCAUAGACUUAUCAUGAUCCANNNNNNNNNNNNNNNNNNNNNNNNNNNNNNNNNNNNNNNNNNNNNNNNNNNNNNNNNNNNNNNNNNNNNNNNNNNNNNNNNNNNNNNNNNNNNNNNNNNNNNNNNNNNNNNNNNNNNNNNNNNNNNNNNNNNNNNNNNNNNNNNNNNNNNNNNNNNNNNNNNNNNNNNNNNNNNNNNNNNNNNNNNNNNNNNNNNNNNNNNNNNNNNNNNNNNNNNNNNNNNNNNNNNNNNNNNNNNNNNNNNNNNNNNNNNNNNNNNNNNNNCUAUGUUAAGCAAUCGUAAGUGGACUAAUGUAGUAGUCACACCUAUCUGAGGCCGGUCAAUAAAACUAUAGGCAAAUAAAUACAAGUUAGAGAUCAUGACUAGUAAGCCAAACUCCUAGAACUUGCCAUGCCAAAAGAAAAGAAGGAAAGCCUUGUAUGGACUUUAGGUUUUUUGCUUGACCAAGAAGCAACCUAUCUUGGACACAAAGCAACUCACUUGAUCUUUGAUCAAGUUGAGUUUGAUUUGGAUCAAAGAAGGUUAAGCCUCUCAUAUGUCAAGACUAACCACAAAUCAUUAACUCAUUGGCCAAAAUAAAAAGAAGAAGAUGAAGAUGAAAUGAAAUGGAUAAAAAGGAGAAUUCAAAUGACAUAAUCAAAACACAAUGAUCAAAUGUGAAUGAAAUCAUCAUCAACCAGUGGUAAACAGAAGAGAAAUGAAGAUUAGAAGUUAACAAGGUCAAACAUAUUUUUUGGAAUUAAAAUAAAACAUAAAAUAAAAUGAACAAAAUAUGGUCAAACCUCAAAUUCAAUUUAAAUCAACUUGAACAAGUCCAAUUGAAUCAUCAUAGGUCUAACAUGGUCAAACAAGGUUUGACAAAUUUUCUCAACAUUUUUUGAAAACAGAAACUAUUUAAAAUCAAUUAAAAACAAUAAAAUAUAACACAAAUGAAUUAAAAUCUCAAAUAAAUCUCAAAUCAAUUAAGAAAUUGAUGAGAAUAUUUUUCAUAGACUUAUCAUGAUCCAUAUGUGUUAAGAAAAUAUUUUUGGAAUUUUUGGAUAUCAAAAGGUAUUUAAAAUGAAUUAAAAAACUAUUAAAAACAAAAUAAUUCAUAAAAAAUAUUAAAUGGAAUCAUAAAAAUAAUUAAAAAUCAGAUUAUGAAACUAGAUUUUUCAAGAAAAAUUUUAGUGUUAGUCUCUUAUUUUUGUGAUUCUAAAUAAAAUAGUUAUGAAUUUUUGAAAAUAAAUGGAAUAAAAGAAAAUAAAACAGAAAUUAGGAAAAUAUGAAAAAUUAGGGAGCGCUGGAUCCACUUCAUUAAUUGACGUGGCAAUAUCCAAGGGCUUAGAAGCGCGCGCAUACCAUGGUCCACAGUCAAACACGUUACAAACUGGAUUAAAAAAGUCAAAAGAAUCAUUGGCCAGGAUUAGAACGCUGAAGCCUCAUCCAAGGGCCUGGAGUCAUCCACGUGGGAGCGAUGGUGGAAACCACCGUCUUCUCCGGUGGACCAACUGAUUUCGGCCACCAGUUGCAGGUUUUUAAACCUCAACCAAAAUGCACAAACGUGAUACCAAAAUGAAGCUGGGGUGAUGUACAUCACCCCUGUAACCUUGGAUUGUUCUCAAGAUUUCUAUGUAAGGAGAAAUCUGAGCUUGAAAAUCCAGGUGUUCAAACUGAAAAGCUUCAAAACACAAAAUCAAAGCCACCACUGGCUUGCCUCUUGCAUGAGGGCUUCAGAAAACCAUUUGAACAUAAGCAAUUCACAUUAUAUGAUGAGAUAUAGAUCAAAAUAGUUGGAUCAUAUACCUUUGAAAAGCAGCUUUAAUCAGCACGAUUCCUUCCAACUUUUGCUUCCAAUUUGAUCUUGAGAUGUGAUAUGAGUGCAAUGUUAAGGAAUAAGUCUUGAAGAUCAACUGAUUUUGUUGAAAUUCAAGCUUGAAUUGAGAAAAGAAAAAUCAGAAUUCCUUUGGUAUGGUUCAGUUUGGAUUUCAGCAGAGCUUCAGGUAGCCUUAAGGUUGAAAUUUGAAUGAGGCAAGCAUUGUAUUUAUAGCUGAGAUGCAAGCAAGCAAGUGCCAAACUCGUAUGCAUGAAGUUUUGGGUCCUCCAUGCAUGGGCCUGUACAGGCGCAUGUGAGGCCCAAAGUUGGAUGGAAAUGAAUGCUAAGCUCAUUUUGAAGAGGGUUUGGACGUGCAAUUUGAACUACAAUGGCUUGUGCAUGAAGAUUCAAAGUGAAAUGCAUAAUUGGGCCUAAAUGUUCCCCUCUUUGAAAGUCACACAUAGAAAAUCUAAACAUAGGCAUGUGAGUAAUGGUUGGAAAGGUAUUAACAUAAGGAACAAAAGCUAUGUUGGACGAAAAUUCAUUUGGAAUUUGGAGAUUUGUGAAAACUAGCCUUGAAGUUUGAGGUACAAAACAUGCCUUUGAAAAAUUUGCCAAAACUGACCAACUUCAAGCCUUUCUAUUUCAAUGAUGCAAGCCUCAAAUGGAAAAACCUCCAAAAUCAAAGUUGUAGAUAUUUUAAAUACAAUCAAUUUGAACUUAAAUUUUGCAUCAUUUGGAUUUUUUAUAAGAAAGUUAUGGAUACUUGAAGUUGGACUUUUUCAACAUUCAAUGGUUUUGGUCCAAAGUGACCUAUAAUGUUUUGUAUUAUCACAUGUGUUUAUUUUAGGAUUAUGAAAUUUUGUCCAACAUAAUAUUUGAAUUAGACAUAUCAAACUUUCCAAUGCAAUUGGUCUCACCUCAAAAUCAUAAAAAAUGAAGAAAUUAGGUCCUUGGGAAGUUGACCCAAAAUUAGGGUUUCAGUCAAAAUGACCUAUAAUGUAUUGAAAUUAAUGAUGACCUUCCAAGUUUAAAAUGAAUUUUUGAUGAACAUGAAAGUUGUUCAUACGGUUCUUAAGAACAUUUUUUCUCUUGGGGUCAUCUUCAUUUGACAAACACAUCAAAAGUUAGGUCUCGGUGGAUCUCAAAUUAGUCAGAUGACUUGACUGGUCAACUUCUCAAGGCCAAGCCUCAAUUCUUGAUGAAUGAAUGAUUGAGGAUACUCACAUAGGCUCAUAUAUGCAUAAAAUAAUUAAUGAAAGAACUUCCCUUGAUUAAAUUUGAUCAUGGAUUGAGGUUGCUUCAUGAGCAAGGCACAGUCAAUGCACAGUUGAAUUAGGGUUUCCUUGGGAAACAAUCCUCAAGCCCUUUGGUUUAUCUUGAUCAAAUUGGCAAAUUGAGAUACUUGGGAGACAUAUUUUCCUUGGGAAACAAUCCUCAAGCCCUUUGGUUUAUCUUGAUCAAAUUGGCAAAUUGAGAUACUUGGGAGACAUAUAUGAUGAUUGAGAGCUUUGGGAACCAUUGUCAUGCUUGCUUUCAUCUUCAUCUGACCAUUUCAAUGAGCAUAGGAGCCUCCUAGGAGCAAGGGCACAUGUGAUCACUUGAGCUUCAAAACAAAAGAAGUUAGUGACAUAUUUUUGUGCUUUUGGUUAAUAAAAAAAAUAAGAAAAACAAUAAUAUACAAUUCAAGCAUGCUUGGUGGUCUCAAACCAACUCACACAAGUCCCAACCCUAGGGUUAAGGAGCCACACAUGCUAUGAUCCUUGAGGCAAUGCAAAGAGCAAUGAUAUGAUGCCAUGAGGGAUCUUAAGAUCAAAAUUAGGAUCUUACGUAUAUAUAUAAAGUACUAUCUCCAUAGUGCUAUUUUCACACGGUUGAUUUCAAUAUCUCUCGAUAUCUUACCGAAAUUUAAACCAAAUCUAAUUGAAUAAGAAGAAAGGAUAAUAUAUAUAUAUAUAUAUAUAUAUAUAUAUAUAUAUAUAUUNUAGGGUUUCCUUGGGAAACAAUCCUCAAGCCCUUUGGUUUAUCUUGAUCAAAUUGGCAAAUUGAGAUACUUGGGAGACAUAUAUGAUGAUUGAGAGCUUUGGGAACCAUUGUCAUGCUUGCUUUCAUCUUCAUCUGACCAUUUCAAUGAGCAUAGGAGCCUCCUAGGAGCAAGGGCACAUGUGAUCACUUGAGCUUCAAAACAAAAGAAGUUAGUGACAUAUUUUUGUGCUUUUGGUUAAUAAAAAAAAUAAGAAAAACAAUAAUAUACAAUUCAAGCAUGCUUGGUGGUCUCAAACCAACUCACACAAGUCCCAACCCUAGGGUUAAGGAGCCACACAUGCUAUGAUCCUUGAGGCAAUGCAAAGAGCAAUGAUAUGAUGCCAUGAGGGAUCUUAAGAUCAAAAUUAGGAUCUUACGUAUAUAUAUAAAGUACUAUCUCCAUAGUGCUAUUUUCACACGGUUGAUUUCAAUAUCUCUCGAUAUCUUACCGAAAUUUAAACCAAAUCUAAUUGAAUAAGAAGAAAGGAUAAUAUAUAUAUAUAUAUAUAUAUAUAUAUAUAUAUAUAUUAUUUUUUUUAUUUUUUUGGGUUUUUUGUUUUUUUUUCAAGUGUUCCAUAAAUCAGGGAAAAGACAUCCUGAAUGACACCAAUUAUGGACACUUAUUCUCAAUUUACCAAUCAUGUGCACUUGUGUUUGGAGAGGUCCCUUAUUGUAUGGUCUUUUUGGCUCCACAACACCUCACAACCCAUCAACAUCAUCAAGAGCACACUCCACCAAGCAACCUAACAAAAAAAAUCAUUUAUUAUCUUUUUCUUUUCGUUUGGAUUGAAACAAAACCACCCUCCUCCUAUUAUAAAAUUACCACACCAUUAACAAUUACAAUAAACAAGAUUAUCUUUACUUAGCUUGGCCACUACUCUUGUUCUUUUUCCCAUACAAAGCUUGACCAUAACUCAACCUUAUAUACAUAUUCCCUAACCAUUCAAAUCAAAACUCACCUUUAUUCAAAGCUAAAGCAAUCAUGUAAUUAUUUACUAACUAAUUAUCCAAUCUCCAAUAAAAAUCUUAGAAGAAACACCAAUCUACAAGAAGAUUCCUAAUUUCCUAAUUCCUAGCGUAGAGGCUAUCUUGCUAGGUGGAACCCACUCAAUUGAUUCCCUGGUUUGUCAUUUUUAAGAUGGAUUAACACUCACUCAACCCAUGUAUAAACGACACAACAACUCACUCUCCACGUUACAAUAACAACAAAAACACUUAAUGGUGGCUUAGAUCUUGUUCUUAUACUCUUAUUAUUAGUCUUAAAAUUCAACACAAAAAAGCCACCAAGUUUGAUUCACAAAUUAACACUUUGUAUUCAAAAACCUUUGUUUUCUUCCUUUUGUUGCUAUUAUUUGCUAUUAGUACCUCCCUAUAUAAACCUUUCUAUUUCUUUUGAUCACUCUUACAGAUCAAGAUUCAGAUCCUAAAGAAUCAUUGUGAAGAUGGAUAUUAAUGAGUGGGUGAUUCUUUCCGAUGAUGGCUUUCAUGAUGAUGAGAAACAGAUUUUCUUAGGAAAAAGAAACUCAUUCUCAGACUCAAUCAGUAACUUUGACAAAGAUUACUUUUGCACCUCCCCAAAAUCAACAAAACUCAUUGAAACCGAAUCCUCAAAAGUACCAAAACUACUUGUCCAUGUUCCAAUUCAAUUUGAACCCAAAAUUGAGACAGUUCCAAGUGAAGAAGAAUUGGUGAAAGAACACACCUACGAAGACAGUGUUUCACAAGUUUUCUUUCAUGUGAAGGAAAACAAAUUUGUUGACAUGAAAUUGGAGUCACCAAAGUCUUGUAGUGGUAGAGGAUUGUGUUCUCAACUUGAUGCCGUUGAGGACAUGGAGAUGAUGACAUCUCCUAGAAUGAAGAACAUGGAGAAAGACAACAACGUUGUUAUGUACUAUAAUGAGAAAGAAGUAGAGAACAUGAACGGUCGUUUUAAUUUAUGGAAAUGGAGUUUGACAGGAGUUGGAGCUAUAUGUUCUUUUGGUGUUGUUGCUGCCACAGUUUGUGUCUUGUUGUUUGGAAGCCAACAAAGAAACAAGAAAGACCAUACUAUUAGGAUCCAGAUCUACACUGAUGACAAGGUCUAACACAUGUUUCUUUUAUUGUUAUAUAAUCUUUUUUUUCAAUCUAUAAGAAAAAAAUUAUUUUUUAAUACCGUAAAUAACUAAUGUAUCUGAAUAAUAUAUAGACCAUAUUCAUUGUAUAUUGAUUUUGUUGAUAACUAAUCUAUUGUAAAAAUAUGAAUUGAAAUUGCAGAGGAUUAAACAAGUGGUGCAGCAUGCAACGAAAUUGAAUGAAGCAUUUGCAGCAGUAAGGGGUGUUCCAUUGAGCAGAGCUCAUAUAAGUUAUGGUGGUUACUAUGAUAAUAGUGUUUGAGGCAUUGGUAAAACUUUUGGAUGAUAAAAUGAGUCCAAUCUUCUAUUGUGGCUCUGUAAAUUAAGUUAUGGAUUAGGGGGACUUUUAUUAUUAGUAGUAUUUUGUAGUAUGGGAAUUGAAAGGUUGAAAAGUUUGUAUGAUAGAUAUCUCAAAUUAUCUAUAACAAAAUGAAAAUGUUGCCCGAAUUAUAGGAGUUAUAAGUUCGAAUCGAAUCCUGGCUCGCAUUCAUGUUUAAUUUUUUGAGGGAUAAUUUUAUAGUCUAAGUGUUGAAAAAUAGAGAAUUGUAGAUUCGAACGUCUAUUUCAAUAUCUCAAUAACUCUUUAUGAUUCAAAUUGUAUUCAUUGAACAAUGUUUGAUAAACUUGAGUUAUGAUAAUUAAUUCUUUUUAUUGUGAGUUGUAGACAAACUUUCUAACCGGACAUAUUUUUAUUGAGGAUAUUAGUGUUUAUAUUUCAUUAAUGUCACUACGGGUAUUAUAUGUGUUAGGGAAGAAAACUGAAAGAUAAAUAUUAAACAUCAUAUAAGCGAGUAAUACAUUAAAAUUUGGAGUGGAGAUGUAAUAUUCAAGCACUAACUAGUUUUAACCUAAUGCGGUGAUUGCUAGUGUUCUAUAUUAGAAGCAGAUGAUGAUCGGAAAAUUUAACCAAAAUUAUUCGUUGAGAUUGAGCUCCGAUCCCGAUACAUUGGACGUAGUUACCUGCAGAGUUAGGAUUGCGACCUCCAAGUUAGUUAUGGAGAAAUUAAUAAUAGCGUAAAAAUUUGAGAAAUGAAUCACAUAUUGUCGCAUCUAAACAAAAAGAGAAUAUGACGCUCGCGAACUGCAUCUCAGUUCGCGGGAUGGAUUAAUAGAUUCUCCACCGAACUUUAUUUAUUCAUAAAGGAAAAUAUCGAUAAAAUCCAUAAAAGGAAGACAAAGAUAUGGUCGUUGCAACCAAAUCAGGGUUCGGGAGUUGGUUAAGCAAAGAGAAUGUAUUAUCCCCCCUCACGUUCGUUGUACUCAAUGGGAACCGUUUGGUUAGUUGUGCGCGUUAGUGUUAACUUUUGAAAUAUUGGCUUUCUCGAGUUAAAAGGGAAAAAGAAUAGAACCAAAAGGUUUAUUAUUUAUUAGGGUGUCUGACGAGACUUUGAAUCUCGCUCCUACGUAUCUCCAUGUGCGACGGAGAACACAAAGCUACGUAGUUCUGGAUAAAAAAUGUUACUUUGUUGGUAAAUUUUAGCGAAAGUUAUUUUGUCUCAAUCGACGGAAAAACAUUGCUUGCUACCCAAAACAAGUGGAGAAGGAAACAUUUGCAACCGGUCGAAUGGAUAGACAUAUCAACAUUCGCAGGAAAACAUCGCUAGCUUACUCACACAUACUGGCCUUUAGGUACCAAUGACUAUUAGAUUUUUAAAAUGGGAUGUCGGUUACAACUAUACUUUAGAGACGCCAAUGAUAGUUGAACUUUGUAAAUUGUGUCAGUGACAACUGGACUUUAGGUACCAAUGAAAAUUGGAUUUUGAAAAUGAUACCAAUAACAAUUGGACUUUGAGAAUAAUACUGGUAACAACCUCCAUCGAGAAGUACCAAUGAAACCAUAGACUCUACAUUCCUCGAAAAUCAUAAAUGUGUCGAACCUUUGAACCUUCAUCGAGAAGUAUAUACAGAUUAUUCGGAAUAUGUUGAACCUUUAACCUAUAUUAUUGCAUCAUCGUGUAUAUACCUAACUUUUGAACCUAAAUUAUUGCAUCAUUAGACCUUUUAAUCAAGGGAUGUAGCUUAUUUAUUUGAAUUACAUAUGCAUCGUUUCUAGGGAAUUCCAAAUUGCUAGUCAUUGUUGAACAUUCUAGAAUGAUAAAACCAUUCAUAAAGGAUACAUACCAAUUCAUAAAUUCUUUUCUCCUUUUCCCAUACCAGUUUCCUCUUCUGUCUUUACUUCCAUACUCUGCAAUUAACGACAACUCCCAGAUUCCCUAAAAGCUAAAAACAUAUUCAUACAUUCAAACAUUUGAAUUUCAUGCAUACAAACCAUAAAAAGCUCACCCCUCCUCGCCCAGACGACGAUGAUUCCCCGACAAUGAUAUUUUAAAAGACGGUCAUCGAGGAAUCAUGGAAAAGAUUAAGCAUGAGAACACAAUUUGCAAGGAAAUCUUGGAUCACACCCAAUGCAAGGUCGACGUGAUCUUAAAACUAUUCAUGGAUAGUAUGACAACAGACUUCACAUAUUAAGUUGUGGUUGGUGAACAAACUGAGAACGAACUAAAAAGGUGGAUAAAAUCCAGAAUUCAACUGUAGGUAAUAUGUCGGUUUACCCCUACCAAAUCAGAAGCCCAUUCAAGGCAACCAGAAAUAGAAGCAGAAGAAAAUCAGCAAAAGGAACAACAAUCAAGAGAGGAGACGUCCCUACUUUGAUUUGAUUCCAAUGUCUUAUACGCAUGUACUACCUAUUCUGAUUCAUGUUGGGGAAAUUGUGCCAAGGAAAUCAAGCCUGGAAGGUUUCCCUUCCGUCCUAACCAUAAUCCUAAUACCACAUGCAAAUACCAUGUUGGAUAGGUGGGGCACUCUACAGAAGUCUGCUUCGCCUUCAAGAAAAAAUUUCAAGAGCUCCUUGAUUAGAAUUUCCUAUGCUUUAUAGAGAAGCCUUGACAGAUCAAUACCAAGAUUGACCAUCCUUAGGCCAUCUUUAGCCUUUUUAAUUUGCAUUUUCUUGUUGUAAAAGUAUUGUUUACUUUUAAUAUUGUUACUCACCAUGGUGAUAUUAAUAAAAUGAGCAUGUAUUUUUUUAGUCAAUCCGUUCGUAUUACCUCCACGCUUAAUUCACUAUUUUCCUUUUUUUUUAAACAAAAAAAAAACGAUAGCAAUACUUCUCCACUUCAAUUAAGCAUGGAUCAAAUGGAGAAUGAUGAAAAACAAAUACUCGAAAUGUUGACAAUAUGCUUUCGAAAAAAUCUUUGCUGACGAUGUAAGACAUUGUUUCACCUCUUAAACACCUGAGAAUAAGGAAGACAAUCCCUCGUCACACCCCUUGAGCCUAGAAGUUGGUGUUUCUUUCUGUAAAAAAAAAAUCAUUUAAUCUUAACGAGGGCAAGAUAGUCGUUAGUUAAUUCGGUUGUACAUUCAAAUUCCAAAAAAAGGUUAAAAAUCCAAAAGUUCAUAAUGGUUGUCUCCCAAUAACCAAUAUCACAAUAGUCACGAUCUUUCAAAAAAGGAAAGAAGAAAAGUCCGCUAAGUCAAAAACAAAACAAAAAAUGAUUAAAUGACUUAGGCAAAAAUUAGGACAUCCCAAUGGACUGCAAACUCGAAAAAUCAGUCCAAGCAAAAAUUAGGGAUAACAAAAUAAUCAAAAAAAUCUUCAGCAAAGAAAUAAAAACAAGAGCAAAACGAUGUGACUACCAAUAAAAAGGGGGACUUCCACUUAAGAGAACAAAAGAAAAACCUUAUUGAUUCCAAAAAUCACCAAAUUUCUUUUGGAAACUGAAUGCACCUGUUGAGAUAGCUGAAUGUAGGACUGGAGAACAUCAAGUAGAAUGGGAUGGGCUAAAAUCAAAUUUGAGCCUUAUAUCCUUUGUUUCUAAAACCUUGAACCAGACCACAUUACAACAUUCAAAAGGCCUAACUGAAGUAAAGGUAUUCUUAAGGCAUACUGCAGCAAGGUUGGUAAACCUGACUCCUAGAGAUUUGCUAACUACAUUUGUAUUGAUAUCAAAUUUCCAUAUCGUCUUUCACACUUUAAAUAAUGUUUUUGAUAUCAAAAUUUUCAUGAGCGUCGCAUUAAAAUUACCAUUUUUGAGUAAAUAAUUUUAAUCUGCAAAUCAACACCUAACAUCAAGGUGGUUGCAAUGAUGAGCUAUAGCAUAUGGUCCUACAGGGGAAUUCCUCCAAAUUCGGUUAACCAAGGGCAUUCCCUCAAAGAUUAGCCAGCCAGGAGAAAAAUUACUUCAAGGCUCGUAUUAGGGACGGCCACCUCAAGAGCACAAGAAGUCAGCUGCUCCAGGAGAUGGUUAAUUAGGGGCAUACAGCUUUAAGAUACUGGGGCAAGUCAGGUCGAGAUCGUUUAUGACAAGGUUCCUUCAUGCCAUGCUAUUGGGGGAAAUCCAUAUAAACACCCAACACACUAGGGCAGAGAUAGGCUACGAAGAUACAAGUUCCCUCCAUGUUUCAAGUACAAAGAUGUCGGAGAAUCAUGUCUUUAUAACCCUUAUCCUAGCCUUAAAUCUUCCAUCUCUCACCACAUGAGAAUUGGUAAACCAUUACAUAAAUCAUUCUCAUACAUUAAUCAUGUGGCUUCGCUCACGCAUAUCAUGAAGCCUUGUAAAACAAACAAGAAAAGCCAAAGCCUGGUCUUUAUUGGCACCUCCAUUGGCACUUGUAAAGCCAAAUCAUACUUGGCACCUCCCUAAAAUCCCAACUUUCUUGGCAUCUCUCAAAGACUAACUUGUUUGGCAUCCCACAAAGCCCAACAGUUGGCAUUCUGCAUAUAAUAAUCAUCAUCACAUAAAGCAUUGCAUCCUCAAACUCGUAGCAUAUCCAUCAUGAUGAAGUACUACGCCAUACAAAUUCAAACAUGCACACAAAGCAUAGGCCAUACUUUGUACCUUGUACACAAGACCCUAUUUUUUCCAAUACUCGUCUGUGUUGACCAUUUUUUUACACUCAUCUGUGUGACCAUUUCUUUUAACACUCGUCUGUGUUGAUCCUAAAAAUUUUCAAUGCUCAUCCGUAUUGAUUUCGAACACUCGUCCGUGUUGACAUUCUCUUUUCAAUACUCUCCCGUAUUGAUUUACAACACUCGUCCGUGUUUACAUUCUCUUUUCAAUACUCACUCGUAUUUUUUUCUAACACUCAUCUGUGUUGACAUUCUCUUUUCAAUACCCGUCUGUAUUGAUUCCUAAUACUUAUUCAUGUUGACAUUCUCUUUUCAAUACUCAUCCAUAUUGAUUUUCAACACUCGCCCGUGUUGAAAUUCUCUUUUCAAUACUCGUCCAUAUUGAUCUCCAACACUCGCCCGUGUUAAUAUUCUUCUUUAAUACUCGUUUGUAUUGAUUUCCAACACUCAUGCAUGUUGACAUUCUCUUUUCAAUACUCGUCUGUAUUGAUUUUCAACACUCGUCUAUGUUGACAUUCUCUUUUCAAUACUCGUCUAUAUAUAUUUUUUACACUCGUGUUGACAUCCUCUUUUCAAUCAUCCGUCUUGAUUUCUAACACUUGCUCAUGCUAAUAUUACCUUUUUCAAUACUCGUUCGUAUUGACUUCUAACACUCGUCUGCGUUAAUCACUUUCCAACAGUCAUCCGUGCCAAUCUAAUUCCCCGACAGAAUGUUUCAGUCAAUCUUCAACAGAUGAACCUACAAAAGCUUACCUACCAUUCCAUAUCUCCAAUAAACAACUUCCUAAUAAUACACUUAACCUCCUUCCAUUACAUCAAUCCACCCUCAACGGACAAUUUUUUGGAUAUUCUUGUAUCUAUUCCUCUUCUACCUUGAAUGCCCGAAAAAGUUGUCGUGAUUCAUACAUUCAGGUCCAAGAUGAUUUAAUAGGGGCAGCUGUCAUACCCCAAGAUUUUCCCUACUUUUUUCACUUCUCAUUUGGCUCUUGAUCUUUAAUUCUUCUGUAUACUCAUGCCAUAUUCAUUUAUAUCAUUCAUUCACAAUUACAUUCUCAAACAAGCAUCAUUAAUUCAAAGGGUGUUGCUAUUUAUGAUGCAAAGUUAGUGGAUCAAGCUUAUGCUAUGUCUUGACUAUUUUGGCACAACAAUGAUGGUUGGUUCAUUCUUUAUGGGUCAACUCUUAUGGAACCCUAAUUCUUGGACUUUGGUCUUUGGUUACUAUGGAUUGCAUCAUGGGACAGUUGAUUUUGGAGGUCAUCGUCGAGAUUGGCUUUUGGUGAUCAUUUUUCAUAUAAAGCAUACUUAGUGAUUACUAUUGACUAUUACUUGAUUCUUGACUUGGUAUUUUUAUUCAAGGGUAAGGAUCAGUAUGAAGUCAUUCAAGUUCAUUUCAAAUACAAGUUCAAAGGUUCAAAUUAUAGAGGGAAAAUAUGUUACUUGACAUACAAGUUACACAAUUCAUUUAAAAAAGAAAUCUUUUUUCAUUAUAAACAUUUAAAUUAUAUUACAAAGUCCAAAUCAUGAAGUUAUACACAAGAUUACACAUUUUUGGCCUACAAUUGACAUUUUGGUCAACUGUUGACUUUUGGUCAAAUAGUUGACCAAAGUCAACUACUAAUUCUAAACCCUAUGUCUUAAUCCCAUCUUUAUAGCCUCCAAAUCCCUCAUGUCGUCCAAGACUCCUUCCAUGCCUUGCCAACAUAGAAUCCAUGUUAUGCUUUGACCAAGCCCUGCAAUUAUACCAAUAAUGCAAUUAAUAUUCAUGACCAUACAUAUACAUCAUCCAAUAUGACAUGAUUCAAUAUGCCAAACCAUGUCAAGAACUAAUAAACAAGUGAUCGGUGUAAGAUCCUAAUUUUGACCCUAAGAUCCCUCAUGGCAUCAUGUUAUUGCACAAGUGCAUUGCCUCAAGGAUCAUAGCAUGUUUGGCUCCUUAACCCUAGGGUUGGGACUUGUUUGAGUGUGUUGAGACCACCAAGCAUGCGUGUAUUGUAUAUUAUUACUUUUCUUAUUUGAUUACUAACCAAAAGCACAAAAAUAUGUCACUAACUCUUUUUGUUUUGAAGAUCAAGUGAUCAUGUGCUCCACAAUGCUCCUAGGAGGCUCCUAAGCCCAAUGAAAUGGCUAUAUGAAGAUGAGAAAAAGCAUGACAAUGGUCCACAAAGUUCCUAAUCAUCAUAUAUGUCUCCCAAGUAUCUCAAUUUGCCAAUUUCAUCAAGGUAACCCAAAGGGCUUGAAGAUUGUUUCCCAAGGAAACCCUAAUUUCACUGUGCUUUGACUGUGCCUUGCCCAUGAAGCAAUCUUAACCUCUGAUCAAAUUUAAUCAAAUUAAGUUCUUUCAUUCAUCAUUUUAUGCAUAUAUGAGCCUAUUUGAGGCCGCUCAAUCAUUCAUUCAUCGAUAUUGGAAGUUUUGCCUUGAAAAGUUAACCAAUCAAGUCAUCUGACUAAGCUGAGAAUCCAUGAAAUAUAACUUUCGAUGUGUUUGUCAAAUGAAUAUGACCCCAGGAGAAAAGGUGUUCUUAAGAACCAUAUUAACAACUUUCAUGUUCAUCAAAAAUCCAUUUGAAGCAUGGAAGAUCAUCAUUAAUUUCAAAACAUUAUAGGUCAUUUUGACUGAAACCCUAAUUUUGGGUCAACUUACCAAGGGCAUAACUUCCUUAAUUUUUAUGAUUUUGAGGUGAUAAUAAAUGAAUUGCUAAUAUUUAUAUGUCUACUUCAAAUUUUAUGUUGGACAAAAUUUCAUAAUCCUAAAAUAAAUACAUGUGAUAAUGCAAAACAGUAUAGGUCAUCUUGGACCUAAUUCAUUGAAUUUAAAAAAGUACCCAACUUCAAAUGACCAUAACUUUGUCAUAUAAAACCCAAAUGAUGCAAACUUUGAGUCUAGAUUGACCAUCUUGAAAAGAUAUACAACUUUUAUGUUGAAAGUAUUUUCAUUUGACGCUUGAAUCAUGAAUACAAAAGCGCUUAAUUAAGCUUGCUUUUGGUGAAAUUUUUCAAAGUUAUUUGAACAUGUUUUGUACUUGGAUAUUCCCAGCCAGUUUUCAUCAAUUUUUCAAAGUUAUUUGAACAUGUUUUGUACUUGGAUAUUCCCAGCCAGUUUUGUACUUGGAAGUUUCGAAUUUGUUUUCAUGUAUGUGCAUUUUGGAUAUUUUAUGUUAUGACUUGAAUUACAAGCAUGUUUCAGUCCAAUGCACAUGACCAAUUGCUCUUCACUUGAUCUCAGCAAGUUGUUGCAUUCAUCAUUGGGCCUUCCACACGCUUACACAAGCCCAUGCAAUUCAAAUUCCAUUUGCCAUGCACAUGAACAAAGCAUGAUCAGUUGAUGCAUUCAGUUAUAAAUAUAGGCUUCCUCUUAUUCAUUUGCUAACCUUUUGGAGAUCCCAAGUGCUGCAGAAGUGAAACCAUAGCCAUUACUAAAGGAAUUAAUCACUUUUAUUCAAUUUUUUGAGCUUGAAAUUCAACAUCAUUAGCUGAGUUUUAAAGCCAAAUUCCUUAGCCUAUCACUUCCAUUACAUUCAUAGAUCAAAGAGGAGCAAGGAUCUUGGAGAAUUCGUGGCCAGAAGUUCAUCAAUUUUCCUUAGCCUAUCACUUCCAUUACAUUCAUAGAUCAAAGAGGAGCAAGGAUCUUGGAGAAUUCGUGGCCAGAAGUUCAUCAAUUCAGAGGUAUAAUCUCAAACUUUUUGGAUCUAGAACUCUUAAUUUAAUGUAGCAUUCUUGUGUUUUUGUGGUUUUUUGAAGUCCUCACACUUGAGGCAAGCUGUUGGUGCUUUCAAUUCUUCAUUUCAUGAGCAAUCCGUGUGGACACCAUGAUUUUCUUCUUCACAUUUCUCUCAAUAUAGGAAGAUGAGGGAGAUCCAUUGGUACAGUGAUGAUCUCCAUCACACGAGCUUCAUUUCCAUGGCAUUGUUUUUAAUUUUCAUUAAUUAUUUUCCUGCAACUGGUGGCCAGAAUUGGUUGUUUCGCCGGAGAAGAUGGUGGUUUCCACCACCACCACCACGUGUGCACGCUAGGGCCCUUGGAUCUCCAUGCCACGAUUUAAUCUUGUUCAUUCAUUGUAAUUACUUCAUUUAAUGUUGGAUGUAGCGCGUUUGACUCGUGUGUAGCGUGUUUCCUCAGAUCCCAGCCAUCCACAGGUGCCACAUCAAUUAAUGAAAUGCAUCUGAUGGCUCUGGCUUUUUUGCUUAUUUCAUUUUCCAUUUUAUUUUCAGUUAAUUCAUUUCAUUUUCAAAAAUUCAUUAAAAAUUCCUUUGAAGUCAUAAAAAUAUGAGACCAACUCCAAAAAAAUUCUUGAAAAAUCUAGUUUCAUAUUAUGACUUUUAAUUAUUUUUGUAACUUCAUUUGAUAUUUUUUAUGAAUUACUUGGUUUUUAAUGGUUUUAAUUCAUUUUAAAAUACUUUCUGACUUUUAAAAAAUACAAAAAUAUUUUCAUAGCAUCUAUGAGUCAUGAUGAGUCAAUGAAAAAUAGUCUCAACAAUUUCUUGAUUGUUUUGAGAUUAUUUGAGAUUUUAAUUCAUAUUGUGCUAUUUUUAAUAGUUUUUAAUUACUUUCUAAUUUAAAAAAUUUGUGAGAAAAUUAGUCAAAGCUAGUUUGACUAUGUUGAACCCAUGAGAAUUUAAUUGGACUUGUUGAAGUUGUUUUGAAUUGAAUUUGAGGUUCAACCUUAUUUGUUUAUUUUUUAUUUGUAUUUUAUUUUAAUUCAAAAAAUACCAAAAAAAUAUUGUUGACUUCUUGACUUGUUAUCUUCAUUUAUCUUCUGUUUGGUAUUGAUUGAGUUUGAUUUGAUUCAACUUUGAUCAUUUGGGAUUUGUUGUUGACUUCUUUUCCCCUCCCUUUCAUCUUCAUCCCUUUCUUUCCAUCAAUGGCCAAUGGAUUAAAGUCUUGAGGUUGGUCUUGACAAAUGAGAAGCUUAACCUUCUUUGAUCAAAACCAAACUCAACUUGAUCCAUGAUUAAGUGAGUUAUUUUGUGUCCAAGAUAGGUUGCUUCUUGGUCAAGCAAAUAACCAAAAGUCAAUACAAGGCCCUUCCCCUUUUGUUUGGCAUGGCAAGUUUAUGGAGCUUGGCUUACUAGUCAUGAUCUCUAACUUGUUCAAGAUAGGUUGCUUCUUGGUCAAGCAAAUAACCAAAAGUCAAUACAAGGCCCUUCCCCUUUUGUUUGGCAUGGCAAGUUUAUGGAGCUUGGCUUACUAGUCAUGAUCUCUAACUUGUGUUCUUUGCUUAUAUUCUUAUUGACCGACCUCAGAUAGGUGUGACUACUACAUUAGUCCACUUACGAUUGCUUAACAUAGCGCUACAUUGUCUUAUGACAAGCUAACACAACCUUACUAAUUACUAACUUUAAUUUGAGCUUUUAAUUUCUUGUCAUUUACUUUUAAUGUCAUUUAUUUCAUGCUCAUUAUUCAUUUUGAUUUUCAUCUUUGCUCACUUGAGCAUAUAUUUUAUGUUUAUGUCAUUUUUCCUUUGCUCAUUUGAGCCCAUUAUUGUAUAUAAAUAUAUUGCUAUUUGUGUUGUUUGUGUUUGUUGUGAUAUGAACCAAAUGCAAAGGAGAAAGGACUUAGAAUUAGGAUUUACCUAUGCUUAAAGGAGUUCAAGAGCAACUAGGCCUCAUGCCUUUAGAAUGCAAAAUUUGUGGAAGAGCAACUAGGCCUCAUGCCUUUAGAAUGCUAAAAUUAAAAGUUGACCUCAAAGGAAUUCUCCUCAAACUUAUUCUUUGUCCAUUCCCUUUAUUGUGUUGUGAGCUUUUUGAUGUUUGCUUUUGUGUGAUAGGGAUCCCAUCUUAAAAUUGUGAAAAAAGGACCAUUGUCAUGAAUAGCCAAGUUAAGAGCCAAGCCAAAUGGAGAUCCUAGGAGCUUGAAUUUAAUUAUUGAUUGCUUGUUUGUGUGCUAAGUCCAAAGGAAAGGAGCAUCUUGAGUCAUCACUAUAACUCCAAGAGAAGGAACUCCAAGAGUUUUAUCUUUACCCUCUUAUUUUUGUUUGCUUUAGGAAUAGCCCUUCUCUUCUUCUCCCCACUCUAACCAAGCCAAAAAUCAUUUUUUAAAACUAUGACUUUAUUUCAAAUUAGAAACCUAGGCCUUAGGCCUUUGACUUUUCAAAACUAUUUUCAUAAAUACUCAUUGUCAAUAAACUUUAAUACAACUUUGACCUCAUUUUGUAAAUAAAUCUAACUUGUAAAUAUAACUCAUUUCAAGUUGUUUUUGUGGUUCCAAUGGCCACUUGUUAAAACCUUUUCAAAAACAUUAGUCAUAGGUUUGAGUUAUCAUAGUGGUUGAUUCAUUUCAAGUUGUUUUUGUGGUUCCAAUGGCCACUUGUUAAAACCUUUUCAAAAACAUUAGUCAUAGGUUUGAGUUAUCAUAGUGGUUGAUGUAAAUCUCACCUCGUCCUUAGUGUUGGAUUAUAAGCCUUCCAUGCUUAUUAUAGGGUUAACCCCUCACUAGCAUGUUGAAGCCUUCCUCACAUGGUGGAUUGUUGGUUUAGGUUGAGUUUUCUCCCUUUGAUAAAAAAGACCUUAAGGCUUUUGAUUAAAAUCAAUUCGCCAAUCUUUGAGAUUUCUACCCCGAACUACGAGGUUUUGAUCCUCCUUUUUGAUGGUACGUAGGCAAUGGGUUCAUCCAUUCAAACAACAAAAUUUGUAAAUAUAAUUUAUUCUCUUCUUAUCCCUCCAAUAUUUUGCACAAAUCUUUUCAUAAAUACCAACCUAUAACACAUAUUUGCAAAAAGGGUUCCCUUAGAGUACUAAGGAUGUUUUAGGUGCGUAAAAUCUUCCCAUUUCAUAACCAACCCCCUUACCUAGAUCUCUGACUUUUUUAUUAGUUUUUGAUUUGAAAAACUUCUUACUUGGCUUUUGUUCGCUUUUUAGCAUUUCCUUUGGACAAAUAAAAGUGUGGUGGCGACUCGAAUUGUAUGUUGACUUUUGGUUUAGUCAAUAAACCUAAAAGUAAUGAAAACCCCGCUACAGAGAAGUGGCGACUCUACUGGGGAAACAACUGCCCCGUGGGUUUAGCCUAAUUUUUGCUUGUAUGUGUUGUAUGUUUAUAUUUAUUAGUGGCAUAUUUUUUGUGCAAAUUUGGGAUGAAUGUAUUAUUUGUAAUGUAUGAAUUGCUUGAUAUAUUAAUUGCUUGUAUGCUUGGUGGUUUCUUGUGAUAUGAGUUAUAUACCCGAACUCGAGUGCACUUAUGAUAGGAGAAUGGCAUAGUCUUAUUGACUUGUGUGAAGUUAUUCCUUAAUAAGUUAACUUGCAAGUCCAUUCACUUGGUGGAGGUUUUUAUUGGGAUCACUAAUGUCACACGAGUAGUCGUGGUUAGGCAUUACUCUUUCCAAUAGGAACCUUAGAAGCCAAGGACCUUAGAUACCUAGCCCAUCUUGGCCUAUUUUAGGACGUAGUGCGAAGGUCGUUCAAGUGUAAGACUUGAUACGAUUGUUACGUGAUACACACUCAUAAGAGUCUCUCUUGAGAAUAUUUUUGGAGGACGAGUAGUCGUUUUAUCCGAUAAUAUCCGAAAGAUGGGAUGAUGACUAUGGAACCUUUUAGAACAUGAUUGUUAGGUUUAACCAUAGUACACUCCCGUUGGGUAGUUCUUAACCGAGACUCCAUGCUCGUGACUUACAACAAACCCGUGAUUCGCGGUCGAUCUGUUCUAAGUAUAUCCUCAAUAUCAAUGGAAUUUGGGUGUUGAUAAGGUGUAAACCAUAAUCCACCAAAAUGGAUGAUUGAUAUUGACGAUGACUUGAGCCAUCCCGUGACCUUUGUAUGGUGUGACUUGCUUGAUCCUUGAGUGUGUUUGUUGCAUCCAUGCAUUCAUGCAUUCAUUCGCAUUCAUGCCAUCAACAAUAAAGAUUUUACAAGGAACUUAAGAGGUCUAUUUGCAAAUUUUCAGACAUGGAUAAGCAAAGAAGGAAUACGAAGAAGUACAGUUUCAGACAACCCGACUUGAAAGAGUUAAGGAGUUUGACAUCUUAUGUAUUAGAGCCCUUGGAGUUCAAAGCUCGCCAUGGGAAGCUUCUGUCUAUUCUUUCUACUAAGGUGGAUGAAGGUCUGAUGAGUGUGUUGGUGCAGUUCUAUGAUCCCUUGUACCGUUGCUUCACNNNNNNNNNNNNNNNNNNNNNNNNNNNNNNNNNNNNNNNNNNNNNNNNNNNNNNNNNNNNNNNNNNNNNNNNNNNNNNNNNNNNNNNNNNNNNNNNAAUAUCAAUGGAACUUGGGUGUUGAUAAGGUGUAAACCAUAAUCCACCAAAAUGGAUGAUUGAUAUUGACGAUGACUUGAGCCAUCCCGUGACCUUUGUAUGGUGUGACUUGCUUGAUCCUUGAGUGUGUUUGUUGCAUCCAUGCAUUCAUGCAUUCAUUCGCAUUCAUGCCAUCAACAAUAAAGAUUUUACAAGGAACUUAAGAGGUCUAUUUGCAAAUUUUCAGACAUGGAUAAGCAAAGAAGGAAUACGAAGAAGUACAGUUUCAGACAACCUGACUUAAAAGAGUUAAGGCGUCUGACAUCUUAUAUUUUAUAGCCCUUGGAGUUCAAAGCUCGCCAUGGGAAGCUUCUAGCUAUUCUCUCUACCAAGGUGGAUGAAGGUCUGAUGAGUGUGUUGGUGCAGUUCUACGAUCCUUUGUAUCGGUGCUUCACUUUUCCGGAUUUCCAGCUUUUGCCUACAUUGGAGGAGUAUGCUUAUCAUGUGGGCAUACCUAUUCUUGUCCAGUUUCCGUUCAGUGGUUUGGAGUAGAUUCUGUCUUCUUAAGAGAUUGCUGACAUGCUUCAUGUGGAUGUAUCCGACAUUGUUGCCAAUAUGACUACAAAGGGUGGAAUUCAAGGUCUCCCGUCUGAUUUUUUGAUUGCCAAAGCUACCUUGUUUGGGAAGGCCAUGAGUAAGGAAGCUUUUGAAGCCAUAUUUUUUCUCCUCAUCUAUGGGCUAGUGUUAUUUCCCAACAUCGACAACUUCUGGAUGUGAACGUUAUUAGGAUUUUCUCUUCUCUUAAUCCCGUUCUGACUCUGUUGGGUGACACUUAUUUCUCUUUGCAUAUGAGGAAUGCAAAGGGUGGUAGUUCCAUUAUAUGAACCCGAUGAUGUGGUUACUUCUGUCCUUCCUCACUCGUCUAGGUUUUGGAAGAAGAGAUAUGAUCAGCUCGCCAAAGAGAAGGCCGACAUGGAAGCAGCUUAUGAGAGAGAGGUGAAGAGGCUUCGUGAGAUGUAUCUUCCGAUCUCGAAGGCUUUGGACGACUGUUUCUAGGGAUCCAUAGGAUGUUUAUUCUCCUUUUCUCUUGUAUUAUAUUUGGUUACCGAGACUGUACUACUUCUUUUGUGUAAAAAGUUUCCAAAUGUUAUAUUUCUAUGAGUAUUCCACACAUGUCUCAAAAAUUUCAAUAUUUUCAAAACAUUUGCAAAUAGAUCUUUAUAAAGUUCCUUUGAUAAAAAAACAAAUCAUAUGCACGAGCAUUGCAUGCAUCAUAUGCAUAAGCAGGUUUUGGUUCUGAGCCCUUGAUACAGUGGUCUAACUCUUUGCUCUUCAUUUAUUUUGAAGACAAGCUGACGCACUGGUAUAACACCCGAGAAAAUCAUUCGAAGAUCAUGGAGCACCUUGAACAAGAGAAUAGAGAUCUGAAAGAGGAAAUUGCCAGACUGACUGCCGUGAUGGAGUCAGUUCUUGCCGCUCAGAGUCAAGCUUCUCCUACUCCUAAAACUCCUCCCGCGAGGACAGUCAUUUCUGAAGUGGUAACCUCAACAGUGUAUGCUGCCACCGCCCACUUCGCUCCUAAUCUGCCUGCUGGGUUCCCUUGGGGAAUGCCAUCCAAUUUUGUACUAGAGGGUUUCGCUCCCACUUUUGCUUCUAUGCUGGCAUCUAGCCCGAUCAUGUUUGUGCCACCUCCCGUUGUGGAUACUUUGUCGCGUGUUGAAGACCCCAUCUAUCAUUCCGAGCCAUCUGAGGGCCCGGACGUUUAUGAGAAGAUGGACGAGAUGAAGGACCAAUUCCUUGAGUUGCGCAAGGAACUGAAGACGCUGAGAGGCAAAGAUCUAUUUGGGAAGAGUGCUGCUGAACUGUGCUUAGUGCCCAACGUGAAAAUCCCAGUCAAAUUCAAAGUGCCUGACUUUGAGAAGUACAAGGGAAAUAUGUGUCCACUCAGUCAUCUUGUGAUGUAUGCUCGCAAGAUGUCAACCCAGACAGAUAAUGAUCAAAUACUGAUUCACUACUUUCAGGAUAGCUUGACAGGUGCUGCGCUCCGUUGGUAUAUAGGGCUAGAGAGUGCAAGCAUUUGCACUUUCAAUGACCUAGGAGAGGCAUUUGUGAAACAGUAUAAAUACAACGUGGACAUGGCUCCAGACACAGAUCAGUUGAGGGCGAUGUCCCAAAAAGACAAAGAAACCUUCAAGGAAUACGCCCAAAGGUGGAGGAAAUUGGCAGCUCAGAUAGUGUCACCCUUGGAGGAGAAGGAGAUGAGAAAGAUCUUUUUGAAGACUUUGAGCUCUUUCUACUAUGAGCGCAUGAUUGCUAGUGCUCCCUCGGACUUUACCUAAAUGGUAAAUAUGGGGAUGAGGCUAGAAAGGGGAGUUCGCGAAGGACGGUUGCCCCGUGAUGACAAUUCGGUAAAGAAAUAUGGAGGAUUUGUCAGGAAAAAGGAAGGGGAGACUUGUCAUACCCCAAUUUUGUCCGGGCAUAUUUAAAUUUUGUGUGAAUUUGAUUUCAUUUUUAAUUUUCAUCAUAUGCACAGCACGACAUGCAUUCCAUCAUAAAUAAUACCUAGAAUAUCAGUCAGGAUAAAUUUAUUGAAAAUACAGACAAAUCGGUUGAAUCAUUUCUCAAGAAUGUGCAAAAUCAACGGGUAAAAAAGUUUCAAAAUUAAAAUUACAGACACCAGCAUUAUUAAUCUACGGUUCACGUAGUUUAACCUGGUGUGCUCGUUGUAUUUUUCAGCGGCUUUUUUGGUUGCGUUUUGACCCGCCUGAGCCUUUUAACCGGUGAAAAAUUAUUUCGAAGUUAAAAGAAACGCUGUAUUUUUUUCAAUAAGUAUAUUUUGUGCUGAUUAUCAUAGUGCAUCAAAUCUAAUUUUUUGGUCAUUUUUGCAUUCAUUUUUAUUAUUUAAUUUAAUUCUUACUUACUUAUUUAUUUACCUUUUCUUUGAUUUAUUGUCAAAAAUUAGUAUGCUUAAAUAGGAUUUAUUUAAUAUCUAGUGUAAAUUUAUUUUAUUUUAUUAACUAAUUCAUUUUUUGUAUUAAUAUUCAAAAGUAUAAAAAAUAUAAAUAACAAAAAGAAGGAUCAAGAAUAUCUCAUUGGUAGACAGCGGGAAACACUCUCAUUUGAUGCCAAAUAGUAUUGUAUUUCCUCCAUAUAUCAGAGAACACGCGUCCCAAAUAAGGGAUCUUUUAUUUUAUCAACACCACUCCCUAACGGUCACACACACACGUCACUUUCAAGAUCUCUUGCUCUCUCCACUCCCUCACUGAUCUCUCUCAUCAUUAAAGAACCACACGUCUCUCUCAUUAAGGCAACAUCUCUACUAUCCACCUACCACUCAUAAAACCUGCCUCUCACUCCCUCACGCUACCUCACACUCCCUCCUCCACAAGCCCUCACCGUCAUCUCCUUCAUCAUCAAUCACCUUCAACCUUCACACAACAACCCUUCUCCGCCCUUCACCGCCACCGUCUUCCAUCACCACACAACCACCACCGUUCCCAGUCACAACCACCGUUCAUCACCACCUUCGAAUCACUUUCACAAAACCCACAUGCAAACACCACCUAAACCUCUAAAACCACCGUGAACUCGCCGAAUCUUCUUCCGCUUCAACCACAACACCAUCCAAUCGGAACCUCUCUCCUUCCGUAACACCAAACCUCCAUUAUCGACGAAUAUAUCCGACUAAAUCGCGCGUCCGUCUAAAUCAUAAACAACCAUCCGCCGUGCGUAACCGUCACAAUGAACACCACCACUUCGCAUCCACCAUCUUCCAUUUCCGACACCAACUCCAUCCCUUUCGCAUAACUACCAUUCGCCGGUGAAAUCGCCCUCACAACCAUUGGAAAUAGUCGCUCAACCGCUAGAUCUCCGUUCAUCCGCCGGACAAACCACCGUGGCCACCACCCUUCGAGCGUCACGAACAAGUCGGUGAAAUCGCCCUCACAACCAUUGGAAAUAGUCGCUCAACCGCUAGAUCUCCGUUCAUCCGCCGGACAAACCACCGUGGCCACCACCCUUCGAGCGUCACGAACAAGAUCUUUCUUCCUCCAACGACGACGUUUCUGGGAUUCGUCGUAACAAGCUUGCCUCGGUUCGAGUCGAUUUGCAACCGACUUACAGGACUGCCGUUGACUUGCGAGAGCUUCACUGCCGUUGAUUUACAAAAGUGCAACCGAGUUGCAGCAUAACGCUUCAGAGGGAUGUCCGUUGAUUUCGCAACCGCACCCGCGCAACAAUGAUUAAUGAUUUGGUAACGGUCCGAUUUUAUUGAUAUUCAUCGUUUUACUUUGCAGUUAGUUUCAUGCUUCACUUAAGCAAAUGUGUAGAUAUUUUCUUGAUCUCAUUUCCAUUACACUUCUUGGAUACUGGACUGGUUUAUAUCGCGCACUGGAUAUAUUAUUAAUUCUGUCUGCAAGUCUAUUUUGAUUUUGUGCGAUUUUGGAAUUACCGUGCUAGAUUAUAAGAGCUUAUUUCUGUGCAAGCUUUUUCCAACGAGCUUAUUUCUUUAUAAGUUUUUUUCGAUGGUAUAUCGCAUUUAUUUCAGUACCAUUGAACCAGGUUAAAUAGUCAAAUUUUAUGGUUGUCUGUUAUGCUUGAAUUUGUGGUAUGAUUCAUUUGUGCAUCGGUUGGUCCAAAAUUGCAAUUACUUCAUGUAUGGGUCAAAUUCAGUUUUAAAUGGUUUUCCGUCUUUCGGUUGUUUCAUGUGGAGUAGCUUUUAGUUUGGCUUGGAUUCAAGGCUGGCUUUAUUUUCAUUUUUAAGUAAUUAGAUGAGAGUAUGCAACUUAGCAUGGUUGAUACCCACUCUUGUUUGGGCCGUACUGCUACCGCAAGCACCGGGCUGUUGAUGGCUUGGAAGUUAUGUUGAUAAGGUCAUUGACUUCUUUAUAAGAAUAUCAUAAGGUUAUUUUAAAUUAAGAUUUCAAUAUUGGGUUGGAUAAAUAUCUUGGUUCAGGUUGCUACGUUUUGUUGGUAACGAGAGACUUUAUUUUGAUUUGUUAAAAAGUUGUUUCAAUUUAAUGAAUGCUAAAUGUUUAUAUUAUGGUAUGGUAAUAUUGUGUUUUUUGUUGUUAAUUUCAUCAAAUUAAAAUUGCGCAUUCGACAAUGUCAAGUCGGGAUGCCGCCAAAUUUUCAAUAUAUCAAUGGAAUACUUUCACCGAGUUUUGAAUUUGC
rnacentral:lncRNA from 1 species